rnacentral:rRNA from 1 species
GUCCGCCUACGGGACGCAGCAGUGAGGAAUAUUGGUCAAUGGGCGGGAGCCUGAACCAGCCACGUCGCGUGAGGGAAGACGGUCCUAUGGAUUGUAAACCUCUUUAGGCGGGGAGCAAUGCCGGGCACGCGUGCCCGGAGGGAGAGUACCCGCAGAAUAAGCAUCGGCUAACUCCGUGCCAGCAGCCGCGGUAAUACGGAGGAUGCGAGCGUUAUCCGGAUUUAUUGGGUUUAAAGGGCGCGUAGGCGGGU